rnacentral:rRNA from 1 species
ACCCGCUGAACUUAAGCAUAUCAAUAAGCGGAGGAAAAGAAACCAACAGGGAUUGCCCUAGUAACGGCGAGUGAAGCGGCAACAGCUCAAAUUUGAAAUCUGGCGUCUUUGGCGUCCGAGUUGUAAUUUGCAGAGGGCGCUUUGGCAUUGGCAGCGGUCCAAGUUCCUUGGAACAGGACGUCACAGAGGGUGAGAAUCCCGUACGUGGUCGCUAGCCUUUACCGUGUAAAGCCCCUUCGACGAGUCGAGUUGUUUGGGAAUGCAGCUCUAAAUGGGAGGUAAAUUUCUUCUAAAGCUAAAUACUGGCCAGAGACCGAUAGCGCACAAGUAGAGUGAUCGAAAGAUGAAAAGCACUUUGGAAAGAGAGUUAAAAAGCACGUGAAAUUGUUGAAAGGGAAGCGCUUGCAGCCAGACUUGCCUGUAGUUGCUCAUCUAGGUUUUUAUCUAGUGCACUCUUCUAUAGGCAGGCCAGCAUCAGUUUGGGCGGUUGGAUAAAGGUCUCUGUCAUGUACCUCUCUUCGGGGAGAACUUAUAGGGGAGACGACAUGCAACCAGCCUGGACUGAGGUCCGCGCAUCUGCUAGGAUGCUGGCGUAAUGGCUGU